rnacentral:rRNA from 1 species
UACGUAGGGUGCAAGCGUUAAUCGGAAUUACUGGGCGUAAAGCGUGCGCAGGCGGUUGUGUAAGACAGAUGUGAAAUCCCCGGGCUCAACCUGGGAACUGCAUUUGUGACUGCACAGCUGGAGUGCGGCAGAGGGGGAUGGAAUUCCGCGUGUAGCAGUGAAAUGCGUAGAUAUGCGGAGGAACACCGAUGGCGAAGGCAGCCCCCUGGGUCAAGAUUGACGCUCAUGCACGAAAGCGUGGGGAGCAAACAGG